AUGAAUACCACUAGACCAUAAUACUAAGUGACAACAAAAACAAAAUUUGACUUUAAAUUAAAGUACACACCAAUAGACUAGAAUCAAUAUGUAAUCUAAAACCAAGUUUCAAUUAAAUUUCAAUCUUUUUUAAGGAUUUAAGUUCAAAAACCCCUAAAUAAAUAUGGCUCCAAGGAAGGAGCGAGUAGGAAGUCCUUCACAAUAUAGAAAAUAGCAACACAUCAAAACGAUGCCAUCCCACCAAAUUUUCGAAGGUACUCCCACUUCGAGUUACAUAAAUCUUUCAAGGUCCCUCAUACACAAUUCAUUCGGAACCAUGGCAAUGUGACUUACAACUCUCGUGAGUCCCUAUGAAUCGACGCCAUGAGUGGUUAGGAACAAACCACUCUAAAGAUUGUGCACUAAUGCUCAACAUUUUAUGCCACAUCGAAGAGUAGUAAAAGGAAAGAACCUAUGAACAUGUAAAGGUUCUGAUGUAUUUCAUGCUUUCCAAUAUACUUACUUCUACUUAGAAGCCUCUUUCCACUUUCAAGUCACCCAUUUAGAGUUAAACCAACUUUGAACUUAAAUGUUGGCCGGUCGAAUUUUGAGCAUUAACAAUCUUGUAUUUCCAUGCGUUUUCAUUGAAAGAACGAGUAUACUAGCUUACGCUAAAAAAAAUAUGGUUCAAUAGGUUUUCAACAUUCCAUACCGUCAGUUUAAAAUUUUUUAUUGCCCUAGAGAUAGACAGAAAGUAUAUAUACACAUGUAAAUACAUUCCUUUAUAGUAAAUUCGAUUUUAUCAGUGACUAAAUUUAUAGUAGCAUCUGUAUGAGGUGAAUAUUCAAAAACGGAGGUGACAAUAAACAAAGACGGCGUUGGGCAUUGGGGGAGUGCAAAAGGUGCACCAGCAUGGCCCCAAUUUCUGAGGGGUCCCCAAGGUUCAUCCUCCUACAUGUAUUACUUAUGUAAGAAAGUCAAAGAGUGUGUAAGAAUAGGAUUCCUUCUUCCAACAAAAUGGUAGGAAGAGAGAAAAUAAGGGUGCGUAUGGUGGGCAAGGCCAACGAACAAGAGUGAAGGUAGAUAAGGAUGUGGUGAGGUUGGCAUGAAUAACCUACACCAAACACGGUGUGAGCAGUUCUGAGAGGCUCCAAAAUAACCCACUUUUAUCGAAUCCACAACACAAGUUUGCAACCCUAAUCCCCAUGACGUGUGAGCUCCUAUAUAUCCCCACUGCCAUUUAUCCAUAUGUGACCUUUAUAUACACAUCCCACAAUUAAAUGUUUCCCUGCACACACACACACAUAUACAUACUUCAAACACAAAUUGCAGUACGUAUGUAAAAACUCAUUAUAAUCUGAACUUCUUCUUCACAACCUCAUUUCGCUUUCUAGUACUGGAAAUCAUGGAAGAUGACAAUAUGAGAGCAUUUGACAUGGCGGCGCUAAGAACAAGUCUCCCACAAAACAAGAGAGGGUUGUCAAGGUACUACUCAGGGAAAUCGAGAUCAUUUACGUGCAUGGCCGAUGUACGAAGCCUCGAAGAUCUGAAGAAACCUGAAAAUCCCGAUGCUAAAAAGAGGAAGAAACAUUCUGAGAGGAGGAACUUCCCCGUUCCAGCCUACCCUCCUUAUCCUUGUCGAAGAGUUUCUAGCACCACGCAAUGUUCUGCACCCUGCGUUGGUGUGUGAAUAAAAUAAAUCAACUGACGAACGGGAAAAGCACAAUAACAUUCUUUUCUGCAAUGCUUUGCUGCUUUCCAAAAUCUCAAGAGGUGCAGAUUUCGAAUAUCAUUCUUAGGAUUCAUGUGGUUUUUGGAGGAUCUAGCUGCGGGAGAACCAGGAAGGAAGAGCUAGUUUUCCCUUUCUCCCACAUUGUGUAAAUAUCAAAGUAUUAAUUUAAACAUAUGCAUGUAUUAGAUCUUAUUUCUUAUUUAAUUUUGGUUUUUGUUUUCUAUACAGAAAACAGACUUGUGUAAUUGUCUCUGUGCUAGAACUUUGUUUGGUGUAAUAUCUUUGUGAUGAAAUUAAACAACUUUAAAAAUCUAAUGUCACAUUUUGUUUUCAA